AGUGAACGCUGGCGGCGUGCUUAACACAUGCAAGUCGAACGAGAACGGAAUAUAGCUUGCUAUAUAUGUCAGCUAAGUGGCGCACGGGUGAGUAAUGUAUAGAUAACCUGCCCUUAAGAAAGGAAUAACAGUUGGAAACGACUGCUAAUGCCCUAUAUGCCUUUAAUACAUAAGUAUGCAAGGGAAACGCUUUAGUGCUUAAGGAUGGGUCUGUAUGGUAUCAGCUUGUUGGUGAGGUAAUGGCUCACCAAGGCUAUGACGCCUAACUGGUUUGAGAGGAUGAUCAGUCACACUGGAACCGAGACACGGUCCAGACUCCUACGGGAGGCAGCAGUGGGGAAUAUUGCACAAUGGACGAAAGUCUGAUGCAGCAACGCCGCGUGGAGGAUGACACAUUUCGGUGCGUAAACUCCUUUUAUAUAGGAAGAUAAUGACGGUACUGUAUGAAUAAGCACCGGCUAACUCCGUGCCAGCCGCCGCCGUAA
rnacentral:rRNA from 1 species